CCUUGCUUCAAGUAUACUUCCCUAGAAUUCUGGCUCUCUACAAUACACUAUUGACUAAAUGGAAAGAACAAUAAUAAAAAAAUGAAAUUGAAACCUGUUCAAUUAUAAUGGCUCCAGGCUGGUCCCCCUAGGUUCCCCAUGAAUAACUGAGUCCCAGUGGACGGGACAAGUGGCACCCAAUGUGGGGGGCAAGAGGUGAGGACCCUUGCCAGGCGGACCCCGAAGAAUCGUCUGGACCCCGAAGAAAUCACAAGGAUCCCCUUCUGUCCUUGAGUGGGAGAUCUACUAAGUAUCAUCAUAAAGAAGCGAAUGAACCCAUUGUCUUAAUGUUUAUAAACCCAAAGAUCCCUACUGUCAAGAUAAGAAUUACUAUUCAACAAAAACUGGAAAGCAACAUGGCAGAAACUAGGUACAGAACAACAGCUCAUGACAUAUUCCAACAUUUGCUUCAAAUGAAUAUCAUAAAUAAAUUAAAGGAACAAGG
rnacentral:lncRNA from 1 species